rnacentral:piRNA from 1 species
UGGAAGAAUGCUAGCCUGUGAUAGCCCCAGG